rnacentral:rRNA from 1 species
GACGAACGCUGGCGGCGUGCUUAACACAUGCAAGUCGAGCGAGAAACCUUCGGGUUUCUAGCGGCGGACGGGUGAGUAACACGUGGGUAACCUGCCUCAAAGAGGGGGAUAGCCUUCCGAAAGGAAGAUUAAUACCGCAUAAUAUUACAGUUUCGCAUGAAGCAGUAAUUAAAGGAGUAAUCCGCUUUGAGAUGGACCCGCGGCGCAUUAGCUAGUUGGAGAGGUAACGGCUCACCAAGGCAACGAUGCGUAGCCGACCUGAGAGGGUGAUCGGCCACAUUGGAACUGAGACACGGUCCAGACUCCUACGGGAGGCAGCAGUGGGGAAUAUUGCACAAUGGGCGAAAGCCUGAUGCAGCAACGCCGCGUGAGUGAUGAAGGUCUUCGGAUUGUAAAGCUCUGUCUUUUGGGACGAUAAUGACGGUACCAAAGGAGGAAGCCACGGCUAACUACGUGCCAGCAGCCGCCGUAA